AGACCCGAAACCCGGUGAUCUAGCCAUGGGCAGGUUGAAGGUUGGGUAACACUAACUGGAGGACCGAACCGACUAAUGUUGAAAAAUUAGCGGAUGACCUGUGGCUGGGGGUGAAAGGCCAAUCAAACCGGGAGAUAGCUGGUUCUCCCCGAAAGCUAUUUAGGUAGCGCCUCGUGAAUUCAUCUCCGGGGGUAGAGCACUGUUUCGGCUAGGGGGCCAUCCCGGCUUACCAACCCGAUGCAAACUGCGAAUACCGGAGAAUGUUAUCACGGGAGACACACGGCGGGUGCUAACGUCCGUCGUGAAGAGGGAAACAACCCAGACCGCCAGCUAAGGUCCCAAAGUCAUGGUUAAGUGGGAAACGAUGUGGGAAGGCCCAGACAGCCAGGAUGUUGGCUUAGAAGCAGCCAUCAUUUAAAGAAAGCGUAAUAGCUCACUGGUCGAGUCGGCCUGCGCGGAAGAUGUAACGGGGCUAAACCAUGCACCGAAGCUGCGGCAGCGACGCUGAUGCGUUGUUGGGUAGGGGAGCGUUCUGUAAGCCUGCGAAGGUGGCCUGUGAGGGUUGCUGGAGGUAUCAGAAGUGCGAAUGCUGACAUAAGUAACGAUAAAGCGGGUGAAAAGCCCGCUCGCCGGAAGACCAAGGGUUCCUGUCCAACGUUAAUCGGGGCAGGGUGAGUCGACCCCUAAGGCGAGGCCGAAAGGCGUAGUCGAUGGGAAACGGGUUAAUAUUCCCGUACUUGGUGUUACUGCGAAGGGGGGACGGAGAAGGCUAUGUUGGCCGGGCGACGGUUGUCCCGGUUUAAGCGUGUAGGUGUGUGUUCCAGGUAAAUCCGGUUCACUUUAACACUGAGGCGUGAUGACGAGGCACUACGGUGCUGAAGCAACAAAUGCCCUGCUUCCAGGAAAAGCCUCUAAGCAUCAGGUAACAUCAAAUCG
rnacentral:rRNA from 1 species